CAGUUAACAGACAACGUUCUAAGCAUAUUGACAUAAAGUACCACUUUGUACGUGAAAUGUAUGUUAAAGGCAUGAUCGAUAUUGUAUAUUGUCCUACCCAAGAUAUGGUAGCUGAUAUCCUAACAAAGCCACCCACAAAAUGUAAACUAGAUAAUUUUAAAAGUAUCGUGUUCGGUUGUGGUAAUUAGUUUAUAUUCUGAUAACAAGUGAGGGUGUUGAGUUCAAUAUAAAACUGUAUGUUAUCCAAAUAUUAAGUAUGACGUAAUACUGAGAGACAAAUGCAUGAUGGGAUUGUUGUGUUGUUAGUUGAACUUCCUCGUGAAAGUAACUUGCUGUACAAAACUACAUUUGUAAUAAACGUGAAAAUAAAGAGUGAUUUCAUUACAAAUACGGUGUUCUAAAGUCA